rnacentral:pre_miRNA from 1 species
UAAAUACUCCCUCUGUCCGAAAAUACUUGUCAUCAAAAUGGAUAAAAAGAGAUGUAUCUAAAACUAAAAUACGUCUAGAUACAUUUCCUUUUAUCUAUUUUGAUGACAAGUAUUUUCGGACGGAGGGAGUAUUUG